rnacentral:rRNA from 1 species
GGGGGGGGGGGGGGGGGGGCGGGGGGGGGGGGGGGGGGGCGGGGGGGCGCGUUGGGGGUGGUGGGGGGGAAGGUGAGUGGGUUAGUGGCGGACGGGGGAGGAGCGCGUGAGUAACCUGCCUGACACGAGGGGAUAGCCUCUGGAAACGGAGAAUAAUACCCUGUGAAACCAGACAAUCGCAUGAUAAUCUGGUCAAAAUGUUUAGUGGUGUAAGAUGGACUUGCGUCUGAUUAGCUAGUUGGUGAGAUAAAAGCUCACCAAGGCAACGAUCAGUAGCCGGCUGGAGAGAGUGUACGGCCACAUUGGGACUGAGACACGGCCCAGACUCCUACGGGAGGCAGCAGUGGGGAAUUUUGCACAAUGGGGGAAACCCUGAUGCAGCGCCGCCGCGUGAUUUAGAAGGCCUUCGGGUUGUAAAAAUCUUUUGUAUAGGAAGAAAAUGACAGUACUAUACGAAUAAGGUCCGGCUAAUUACGUG